rnacentral:rRNA from 1 species
GGACUACACGGGUUUCUAAUCCUGUUUGCUCCCCAUGCUUUCGUGUCUGAGCGUCAGGCCCACCCCAGCGCACCGGCUUCCCCUCUGGUAUUCUUCCCGAUCUCUACCCAUUUCACUGGUCCACCGGGAGUUCUAUGCGCCUCUAGUGGCCUCAAGUCUGCCCAUCGACGGAGCCCCCGCCCAGGUAAGCCGGGCGAUUUCACCCCAUAUGCGACAGACCGCCUGCACACGCUUUACGCCCAGUAACUCCGGACAACGCUCGCCCCCUACGUAUUACCGCGGCUGCUGGCAC